rnacentral:rRNA from 1 species
CGUAGGCAACCUGCCCUUACGAAUGGGAUAACCCAGCGAAAGCUGGACUAAUACCGUAUAACAUUUUGAUAUCACCUGUUAUUAUAACCAAAGGUUGCUUUUCGGAGCAAUCGCGUAAGGAUGGGCCUGCGUUCCAUUAGUUAGUUGGUGAGGUAAUGGCUCACCAAGACGACGAUGGAUAGCUGGUUUGAGAGAGUGAUCAGCCACACUGGGACUGAGAUACGGCCCAG